rnacentral:rRNA from 1 species
AUGCAAUGCAAGCACAUAUUCCUAUCGUUGAUAGUUCCAGGGCCCAAGUAUCCGGGGAAGAAUAUAAAUGUGUACAUGCAGCCACUGAUAGAUGACUUGAAAGAAGCUUGGGUGAAUGGGAUACGGACAUACAAUGAUGUUAGCAAAAAAAACUUCACAAUGCAUGUUUGGUACCAGUACUCAUUGCAUGACCUACCGGCCUAUUCACUUUUCAUGGGGUGGUCUGUGCAUGGGAGGUUCCCAUGCCCAAGAUGCAAGGCGAGCCUUAAGUGCCGUUGGCUACAGCAUGGUGGCAAGUAUUCUUGCUUCGAUUUCCAUAGACAACAUUUGCGCCCUGACCAUCAAGUCAGACUAGACAAGAUGAACUUCAUGAAAGGUGAAGUUGUCGAACACUCGGCACCAACAGAUUCAUGA